AAAAAAGGGUCGAAAGACCUAUUUUCUACUGAAACUCUACUAUCUUUUUUAGAUGGUGAUGUUUCUUUAAAAUCCAAUAAAACAUAUCGUCUUUAGACGAACCAAAAAUAAAAUUUUAAA
rnacentral:misc_RNA from 1 species